rnacentral:rRNA from 1 species
GAUACGUAGCCGAACUGAGAGGUUGAUCGGCCACAUUGGGACUGAGACACGGCCCAAACUCCUACGGGAGGCAGCAGUAGGGAAUCUUCCACAAUGGACGCAAGUCUGAUGGAGCAACGCCGCGUGAGUGAAGAAGGCUUUCGGGUCGUAAAACUCUGUUGUUGGAGAAGAAUGGUCGGCAGAGUAACUGUUGUCGGCGUGACGGUAUCCAACCAGAAAGCCACGGCUAACUACGUGCCAGCAGCCGCGGUAAUACGUAGGUGGCAAGCGUUAUCCGGAUUUAUUGGGCGUAAAGCGAGCGCAGGCGGUUUUUUAAGUCUGAUGUGAAAGCCCUCGGCUUAACCGAGGAAGCGCAUCGGAAACUGGGAAACUUGAGUGCAGAAGAGGACAGUGGAACUCCAUGUGUAGCGGUGAAAUGCGUAGAUAUAUGGAAGAACACCAGUGGCGAAGGCGGCUGUCUGGUCUGUAACUGACGCUGAGGCUCGAAAGCAUGGGUAGCGAACAGGAUUAGAUACCCUGGUAGUCCAUGCCGUAAACGAUGAAUGCUAGGUGUUGGAGGGUUUCCGCCCUUCAGUGCCGCAGCUAACGCAUUAAGCAUUCCGCCUGGGGAGUACGACCGCAAGGUUGAAACUCAAAGGAAUUGACGGGGGCCCGCACAAGCGGUGGAGCAUGUGGUUUAAUUCGAAGCAACGCGAAGAACCUUACCAGGUCUUGACAUCUUUUGAUCACCUGAGAGAUCAGGUUUCCCCUUCGGGGGCAAAAUGACAGGUGGUGCAUGGUUGUCGUCAGCUCGUGUCGUGAGAUGUUGGGUUAAGUCCCGCAACGAGCGCAACCCUUAUGACUAGUUGCCAGCAUUUAGUUGGGCACUCUAGUAAGACUGCCGGUGACAAACCGGAGGAAGGUGGGGAUGACGUCAAAUCAUCAUGCCCCUUAUGACCUGGGCUACACACGUGCUACAAUGGAUGGUACAACGAGUUGCGAGACCGCGAGGUCAAGCUAAUCUCUUAAAGCCAUUCUCAGUUCGGACUGUAGGCUGCAACUCGCCUACACGAAGUCGGAAUCGCUAGUAAUCGCGGAUCAGCACGCCGCGGUGAAUACGUUCCCGGGCCUUGUACACACCGCCCGUCACACCAUGAGAGUUUGUAACACCCGAAGCCGGUGGCGUAACCCUUUUAGGGAGCGA